AACGUUUCUGCAUCAAGGAUAGCCUAAUCUUUGGAUAAGGUAUCAUGGAGGUGAGAUCCCGUUCAUGGUUAAUCUUAAGGAAGCUCUACGAUACGUUUUCCAAGAGCCGAGUUGUUUGGGAUUGCAGCUCAAAAUGGGAGGUAAAUUUCUCCUAAGGCUAAAUAUUGGCGAGAGACCGAUAGCGAACAAGUACCGUGAGGGAAAGAUGAAAAGAACUUUGAAAAGAGAGUUAAACAGUACGUGAAAUUGUUGAAAGGGAAACGAUUGAAGUCAGUCAUACCAACGGGAAAUCGACCUUUUGAGCUUGGUUUCGUGGGUUUUGAAGAGUUUCAAAGCCUUCGGAUUCGCGAGAUUGGGAUCUCUUGGUGUACUUUUUCGUACGGUUAGUCAACAUCGGUUUUGAAUGUCAUAAAAUGACUGGAGGAAUGUAGCUUCGAUCUCGUAUUGAAGUGUUAUAGCCUUUGGUAGAUGUGAUGUUUGAGACCGAGGAUUGCAACGGAUACCCUUUAGGGCUAUUCGUCUGAUCUCCGAUACGUUGCCCUGAUGUUGAAAGCCUGC
rnacentral:rRNA from 1 species